rnacentral:rRNA from 1 species
GACGAACGCUGGCGGCGUGCUUAACACAUGCAGGUCGAACGGAAAGGCCCAGCUUGCUGGGUGCUCGAGUGGCGAACGGGUGAGUAACACGUGGGUGAUCUGCCUCUAACUUCGGGAUAAGCUUGGGAAACUGGGUCUAAUACCGGAUAGGACAAUCGUUUAGUGUCGGUUGUGGAAAGUUUUUUCGGUUAGGGAUGAGCCCGCGGCCUAUCAGCUUGUUGGUGGGGUAAUGGCCUACCAAGGCGUCGACGGGUAGCCGGCCUGAGAGGGUGGACGGCCACAUUGGGACUGAGAUACGGCCCAGACUCCUACGGGAGGCAGCAGUGGGGAAUAUUGCACAAUGGGCGCAAGCCUGAUGCAGCGACGCCGCGUGGGGGAUGACGGCCUUCGGGUUGUAAACCUCUUUCGACAGGGACGAAGCUUUGGUGACGGUACCUGUAGAAGAAGCACCGGCUAACUACGUG